rnacentral:rRNA from 1 species
CCUACGGGAGGCUGCAGUGAGGAAUAUUGGUCAAUGGACGAGAGUCUGAACCAGCCAAGUAGCGUGAAGGAUGACUGCCCUAUGGGUUGUAAACUUCUUUUAUAUGGGAAUAAAAUGUUCCACGUGUGGGAUUUUGUAUGUACCAUAUGAAUAAGGAUCGGCUAACUCCGUGCCAGCAGCCGCGGUAAUACGGAGGAUCCGAGCGUUAUCCGGAUUUAUUGGGUUUAAAGGGAGCGUAGGUGGAUUGUUAAGUCAGUUGUGAAAGUUUGCGGCUCAACCGUAAAAUUGCAGUUGAAACUGGCAGUCGUGAGUACAGUAGAGGUGGGCGGAAUGCGUGGUGUAGCGGUGAAAUGCUUAGAUAUCACGAAGAACUCCGAUUGCGAAGGCAGCUCACUGGACUGCAACUGACACUGAGGCUCGAAAGUGUGGGUAUCAAACAGGAUUAGAGACCCUAGUAGUC